rnacentral:tRNA from 1 species
UGAAGUGUAACUCAGUGGUAGAGUGUGGGCUUAGCAUGCCUGAGGCCCUGGAUUCAAUUCUCAGCACCAG